rnacentral:rRNA from 1 species
AUUGAACGCUGGCGGCAGGCCUAACACAUGCAAGUCGAACGAGUGGCGGACGGGUGAGUAAUGUCUGGGAAACUGCCCGAUGGAGGGGGAUAACUACUGGAAACGGUAGCUAAUACCGCAUACCAUCGGAUGUGCCCAGAUGGGAUUAGCUUGUCGGUGAGGUAACGGCUCACCUAGGCGACGAUACCUAGCUGGGCUGAGCGGAUGCCCAGGCCCACUGGAACUGAGCCACGGUCCAGACGCCUACGUGAGGCAGCAGUGGGGAAUAUUGGACAAUGGGCGCGAGCCUGAUGCAGCCAUGCCGCGUGUAUGAAGAAGGCCGUCGUGUUUUAAAGUACUUUCAGCGGGGAGGCGUUACUCGCAGAAGAAGCACCGGCUAACUCCGUGCCAGCCGCCGCGGUAAUUC